UACGUAGGUGGCAAGCGUUGUCCGGAAUCACUGGGCGUAAAGCGCGCGCAGGCGGCGAUCUACGUCUGGGGUGAAAGCCCCGGAGCUCAACUCCGGGACUGCCUUGGAUACGGGAUCGCUUGAGGAUUGGAGAGGCAAGGGGAAUUCCACGUGUAGCGGUGAAAUGCGUAGAGAUGUGGAGGAACACCUGUGGCGAAGGCGCCUUGCUGGCCAAUUACUGACGCUGAGGCGCGAAAGCGUGGGGAGCAAACAGG
rnacentral:rRNA from 1 species